rnacentral:lncRNA from 1 species
AUGGGGUUGCAGAGAAAACGUGGAUUGGGACCAGCAAGAAGUUAUCGUCCUGGAAUAGAGAGCCACAAUGCACAUUUGACAACAGCAAGAAAACUUCCCAGAUGCUCUGGAAGAACAGUGGCCAAGCAAAAUUCUCCCGGAGGGCAGAGUCUGCGACAGCAUUUCUGGCUGGCCAGUUCUGAUUCCGAACGACGGCAUUAUCCGAGGGGAACUCCUGGCUCAGACUUGAUGAAUCACCAGGCUGGAGUCCUGAUUCUUGAGGCCACAGCCACAGGCUCAAUGAUGGAAGCAGAGACCAGCUCCCCACCAGACACCAAACCUGCCGACCCCUCAGCCUUGGACUUCCUGCCUCCAGAACUGUGAGAAAUAAAUUUCUGCUCUUCAUAAGUUACCCA